CUACAAGCUAAUGCGUGGUCAUCUGAAUGCAAGAGGUGUCCGUGUUCCAAUCUCAAGAGUGCAAGAAUCUUUACGGCGAGUCGCUGCAGAGGGAGUCUACAUGAGACGUCUAAGACUGCGUGUAUUAAGACGACGGCAGUAUUCUGUUCCUGGCCCAAACUCUUUGUGGCAUAUAGAUGGCAACCAUAAGCUCAUCAGAUGGAGAUUUGUUGUCCAUGGUGGGGUGGAUGGAUUCAGUCGUUUGGUGGUCUACCUGACAGUCGCUAGCAAUAAUAGAGCUCAUACAGUCUUACAGAGCUUUAUUACUGCUGUUGAGCAGUACAGGCUGCCAUCAAGGGUACGGU